UACGUAGGGUGCAAGCGUUGUCCGGAAUUAUUGGGCGUAAAGAGCUCGUAGGCGGUUUGUCGCGUCGAAUGUGAAAACCCGGGGCUCAACCCCGGGCCUGCAUUCGAUACGGGCAGACUAGAGUUCGGUAGGGGAGUCUGGAAUUCCUGGUGUAGCGGUGAAAUGCGCAGAUAUCAGGAGGAACACCGGUGGCGAAGGCGGGACUCUGGGCCGAUACUGACGCUGAGGAGCGAAAGCGUGGGGAGCAAACAGGAUUAGACUACC
rnacentral:rRNA from 1 species